UAUCUCUGUAGAGUCUGCAUAUCAAUAAGCGGAGGAAAAGGAACUAACAAGGAUUCCCCUAGUAACGGCGAGUGAAGCGGGAAGAGCUCAAAUUUGAAAUCUUAAAGGGUUUCCCUUUACGAAUUGUAGUUUAAAGAAGUGUUUUCUGUUGAGGUUUUGGUAAAAGUUCUUUGGAAUAGGACAUCAUAGAGGGUGAGAAUCCCGUAUUUGACCUUUACUUUCAACUUUGUGAUACACUUUCAAAGAGUCGGAUUGUUUGGGAAUGCAGGUCCAAAAUGGGUGGUAAAUUUCAUCUAAAGCUAAAUAUUGGCGAGAGACCGAUAGCGAACAAGUACCGUGAGGGAAAGAUGAAAAGAACUUUGAAAAGAGAGUUAAACAGUACGUGAAAUUGUCAAAAGGGAAGCGUUUGACACCAGUGUUGUCUUCUCGAAAAUCAAUUAAAAAAGGCAGGAUUUUGUGUUGUAUUGACUUUAUCAGCUUUCUGCACUCUUUUCUUGUCUUUUUUAAUGCACUUUUCGUUUAACAAGUCAACAUCAAUUUCUUUUGUUGUAAAAGGGUCAUUGGAAGGUGGCUUUCUUUUCGGAGAAAGUGUUUAUAGCCUUUGGCCUCUGCAAUCGGAGAGAUUGAGGUCUGCAGCGUAGAUCCUUCGGGGUUAGAUACAUUUGUGCUAAGUUAUAGCCUUUCAUAGACAACUUGUUGACUAUGAUCAGUCAUGUAGCUUACUCGCUUAUGCUAUUUUACCUACGCUUAGGAUGUUGACGAUCAGCUGAGCGCG
rnacentral:rRNA from 1 species